CCUACGGGAGGCAGCAGUGGGGAAUAUUGCACAAUGGGGGAAACCCUGAUGCAGCGACGCCGCGUGAGUGAAGCAGUAUUUCGGUACGUAAAGCUCUAUCAGCAGGGAAGAAAAUGACGGUACCUGACUAAGAAGCCCCGUCUAACUACGUGCCAGCAGCCGCGGUAAUACGUAGGGGGCAAGCGUUAUCCGGCUUUACUGGGUGUAAAGGGAGCGUAGACGGCAGCGCAAGUCUGGAGUGAAAUCCCAUGGCUUAACCAUGGAACUGCUUUGGAAACUGUGCAGCUAGAGUGCAGGAGAGGUAAGCGGAAUUCCUAGGGUAGCGGUGAAAUGCGUAGAUAUUAGGAGGAACACCAGUGGCGAAGGCGGCUUACUGGACUGUAACUGACGUUGAGGCUCGAAAGCGUGGGGAGCAAACAGGAUUAGAUACCCUAGUAGUC
rnacentral:rRNA from 1 species